rnacentral:rRNA from 1 species
GGACGAACGCUGGCGGCGUGCUUAACACAUGCAAGUCGAACGGAAAGGCCCUGCUUUUGUGGGGUGCUCGAGUGGCGAACGGGUGAGUAACACGUGAGUAACCUGCCCUUGACUUUGGGAUAACUUCAGGAAACUGGGGCUAAUACCGGAUAGGAGCUCCUGCUGCAUGGUGGGGGUUGGAAAGUUUCGGCGGUUGGGGAUGGACUCGCGGCUUAUCAGCUUGUUGGUGGGGUAGUGGCUUACCAAGGCUUUGACGGGUAGCCGGCCUGAGAGGGUGACCGGCCACAUUGGGACUGAGAUACGGCCCAGACUCCUACGGGAGGCAGCAGUGGGGAAUAUUGCACAAUGGGCGGAAGCCUGAUGCAGCAACGCCGCGUGCGGGAUGACGGCCUUCGGGUUGUAAACCGCUUUCGCCUGUGACGAAGCGUGAGUGACGGUAAUGGGUAAAGAAACACCGGCUAACUACGU